CCUACGGGUGGCAGCCGUGGGGAAUAUUGGACAAUGGGGGGAACCCUGAUCCAGCCAUGCCGCGUGUGUGAAGAAGGCCCUCGGGUUGUAAAGCACUUUCAGUGAGGAAGAACGCCUGGUGGUUAAUACCCAUCAGGAAAGACAUCACUCACAGAAGAAGCACCGGCUAACUCCGUGCCAGCAGCCGCGGUAAUACGGAGGGUGCGAGCGUUAAUCGGAAUUACUGGGCGUAAAGCGCGCGUAGGUGGCUUGAUAAGCCGGUUGUGAAAGCCCCGGGCUCAACCUGGGAACGGCAUCCGGAACUGUCAAGCUAGAGUGCAGGAGAGGAAGGUAGAAUUCCCGGUGUAGCGGGGAAAUGCGUAGAGAUCGGGAGGAAUACCAGUGGCGAAGGCGGCCUUCUGGACUGACACUGACACUGAGGUGCGAAAGCAUGGGUAGCAAACAGGAUUAGAUACCCGGGUAGUC
rnacentral:rRNA from 1 species